rnacentral:rRNA from 1 species
UAAACGACUCUCGGCAACGGAUAUCUCGGCUCACGCAUCGAUGAAGAACGUAGCAAAAUGCGAUACUUGGUGUGAAUUGCAGAAUCCCGUGAACCAUCGAGUUUUUGAACGCAAGUUGCGCCCGAAGCCUUYUGGCCRAGGGCACGUCUGCCUGGGYGUCACGC